UACGUAGGGGCGAGCGUUGUCCGGAGUUACUGGGCGUAAAGCGCGCGCAGGCGGUCGUUCAAGUCGCGUGUGAAAGCCCCCGGCUCAACUGGGGAGGGUCACGCGAUACUGAUCGACUCGAAGGCAGGAGAGGGUAGUGGAAUUCCCGGUGUAGUGGUGAAAUGCGUAGAUAUCGGGAGGAACACCAGUGGCGAAGGCGACUACCUGGCCUGUUCUUGACGCUGAGGCGGCGAAAGCUAAGGGGAG
rnacentral:rRNA from 1 species